GACGAACGCUGGCGGCGUGCCUAAUACAUGCAAGUCGAACGCACUCUCGUUUAGAUUGAAGGAGCUUGCUCCUGAUUGAUAAACAUUUGAGUGAGUGGCGGACGGGUGAGUAACACGUGGGUAACCUGCCCUAAAGUGGGGGAUAACAUUUGGAAACAGAUGCUAAUACCGCAUAAAACCUAAACACCGCAUGGUGUAGGGUUGAAAGAUGGUUUCGGCUAUCACUUUAGGAUGGACCCGCGGUGCAUUAGUUAGUUGGUGAGGUAAAGGCUCACCAAGACCGUGAUGCAUAGCCGACCUGAGAGGGUAAUCGGCCACACUGGGACUGAGACACGGCCCAGACUCCUACGGGAGGCAGCAGUAGGGAAUCUUCCACAAUGGACGAAAGUCUGAUGGAGCAACGCCGCGUGAGUGAAGAAGGUUUUCGGAUCGUAAAAACUCUGUUGUUGGAGAAGAAUGUAUCUGAUAGUAACUGAUCAGGUAGUGACGGUAUCCAACCAGAAAGCC
rnacentral:rRNA from 1 species